CUAAUACCGCAUGACAUAUCGGAACCACAUGGUUUUGAUAUCAAAGAUUUUAUCGCUUGAAGAUGGACUCGCGUCCGAUUAGUUAGUUGGUGAGGUAACGGCUCACCAAGACCGCGAUCGGUAGCCGGACUGAGAGGUUGAACGGCCACAUUGGGACUGAGACACGGCCCAGACUCCUACGGGAGGCAGCAGUGGGGGAUAUUGCGCAAUGGGGGCAACCCUGACGCAGCAACGCCGCGUGAAGGAUGAAGGUUUUCGGAUUGUAAGCUUCUUUUAUUAAGGACGAAAAUUGACGGUACUUAAUGAAUAAGCUCCGGCUAACUACGUGCCAGCAGCCGCGGUAAUACGUAGGGAGCAAGCGUUGUCCGGAUUUACUGGGUGUAAAGGGUGCGUAGGCGGCUUUGCAAGUCAGAUGUGAAAUCUAUGGGCUCAACCCAUAAACUGCAUUUGAAACUGUAGAGCUUGAGUGAAGUAGAGGCAGGCGGAAUUCCCCGUGUAGCGGUGAAAUGCGUAGAGAUGGGGAGGAACACCAGUGGCGAAGGCGGCCUGCUGGGCUUUAACUGACGCUGAGGCACGAAAGCGUGGGUAGCAAACAGGAUUAGAUACCCUGGUAGUCCACGCUGUAAAC
rnacentral:rRNA from 1 species